rnacentral:rRNA from 1 species
CCCCUAGAUGUUCUGGGCCGCACGCGCGCUACACUGACGAAUGCAACGAGCUCAUAACCUUGGCCGAAAGGUCUGGGUAAUCUCCAAAUUUCGUCGUGAUGGGGAUAGAUUAUUGCAAUUAUUAAUCUUCAACGAGGAAUGCCUAGUAAGCGCAAGUCAUCAGCUUGCGUUGAUUACGUCCCUGCCCUUUGUACACACCGCCCGUCGCUCCUACCGAUUGAAUGGUCCGGUGAAGCGUUCGGACCGUGGCCUUUGGACGGUUCGCCGUCUGUUGGCUGCGGGAAGUUCGUUAAACCUUAUCAUUUAGAGGAAGGAGAAGUCGUAACA